rnacentral:lncRNA from 1 species
GCCGGCGACACCACUCUGAUUAGGAGUCACGCAUGUGGCCGGUAUAGCAUUCUGGUCACCAACUGCCCUCCAGGUAUUUUCUUCAUUUGGUUAAAUUCAUUGGCGGAGGAGCCCAGUGGGCAAGGUGUAUCAGCCACCACACCUUGAUUUCCACCAAUUUUUUUUAUAUAUAUAAGCAUAUACUUUUCUUGAUGGAAAUACUGCUUGUCAGUUUUAGACCACGCUAGAUCGAUUCACCCAAACAAAGCCAGAUGAAGCACGUAAGUUAGAUUGGAAGCACAUAAGCAGGCAGCUUGAUUGAUGUGUUGUCCAGCACAUGCCCAUCUCACUACAUAGACGUACGCGAACCAGCUCGCUUCCGCUGCACAACGAUCGGAUCGAUUCUCUCCGCGGCUCGCUCCUGAUGGAACUCGUGACUAGGCGAUCCAAAAACAGAACGGAUAAAUUUUUGUUGAUGCGUGCAACAUGUAUUUUUUUUUUCUUAUGACAUAUAUAAGAGUACAUGAUUGACUUCCGCCAGCCCGCCCGCGGGUGAUUUUUGCCCUGAAAUGCGCCACCGUCGCCCGUCGGCCCAUCCCCGACCCCGCCGCCGGCAGCGCAAUCGUAUUCCCCGCCGACCUGCCGAUUUGAGUCUGCUAUGCUGAUGAUGGCCCGCCUCCGCCACCGGCGAUUUUUGCCCAACAAUGCCGCCACCCCCGCCCGUCCAUCCAUCCCUAACACCGUCUCGACCCGUGGCCUAUCGAAUUGGCUAUUAUGUUUUUGCAUCAAUUUUUUAUUGAGGGGGCAUCAAUUUUGUCUAGUUGACAGUUUGCCACACCUUAAUUUUUUUUCCGUCCUCCACCUCUGGUUAAAUUAAUGUGUCUUUCCUCAGCUUAGAUGUAACAGUUCAUUGUUUUUUUCUCUGAAUAUGUGUACAUUCAGAAGCAACUAUGAACAACAGUUUCGUUCUUUGAAUUAUGCGUAUUUUUAGGAUCAGAUGCUUAAAUAUCAGAUGAUGAUACUACAUAGAUACACUGGCUUUUGUAUGAUCUGAAUAGAAGCAAAUUAAUAUCAUCAAUUCUGAUGUUAAGGAAAGUAAAACAGAGACGCCAGUUAUUAACAUGGGUAGAAAGAGUAGUUCUUGGCAUCUUCCUCUCCCUCCUCACUUGUUACGAUUGAGUAGCUGUUGUCAAAGGCCAAUUGUAUCUGUGAUGCUAUGUCGACUUAGAUCUGGAUGUUGGUAGUUACCUAGAUGUAGGAGGAAACAAGAAAGACCACGCUACAACACUAAGUGGUGUAAUUUCUGGUAGUUACCUAGCUUUAGCAUGCAACUUGGAUCCCUACCUAUUAACUUUACAGUGUAUAUGCAUUGAAAUUUAACUCCAUCUUAUGUUUUUUUUGUUGCUCUUGGCCAUCCAAUAUGUUAUCAUUGUUUUUUCUAUUUAUUAACCCAUAAGGUAUCCCGGCCAUUAUCUGUCAGCAAAUUUAGUUUAGAGCAAACUGCAGUUUAUUUUCUAUGGUUUCUACUGUUAUACAUUAAUUGCAAGCCUUUUCUGCUUACAAACUUGUCAUAGUCUUGACUUUUCACUAUUUAGAUUACUGUGACAUGAAAGAAAAUGUUUUGCUGGAUGGUUGGUUUAUAUCAUCAUCUUACAGCAGAACAUUCGGCUAUUUGACCAUGCAUACUUGACCGUGCUUUUGCUAAGUCUAUAGGUGUGAGCUGUUUUGCUCGUGGACAAUCUCAUGUGUUGGAUCUGCAUUGGAUGGCAGAUAAGCGGAGUGGGAGCUUGCAGCAGUAGCUUUGACCCCUUCCCAAUGAGCUGCAAGUCGUAGACGAGGUCCCGGCCGAGGUAUCCCUCCUCUCAUUCCUUCCCCUUUCUACCACCUAAGGAGUGAUUAUAGUGUAUGCUGCAUAGAAGUUUCCAAAGUUCAUGCUUAGCUGAUAUCUUUUGUUAACUGAAUAGUUUGCUGUGAUGAAUCACUAGGACAGUAUAGCAAGGCGGCUCUUAAAAAAGGUCCCUUCUUUGAUUAUAAAUCCUAAACAGAUCAUAAAUUAUGAGCAAAGAACCUUCCAUGAUCCCCAUCACAGAGUUUUGUUUUUGUUCCCUUGCAUUGAUAUGCAAAAUAUAUGCAUCGCUAACAAUUUUGCGUUAAGUUAAUUGUUUGUUGUGAUGAAUCAUAAGGACGAUAUCCGAGUACGCUGGCUCUUGAAAAAGGCCUCCUUCCUUGAUUAUAGUAAUUCCUAAACUGGUCAUAUAGUCUGGGCAACCUGCACAAAUCUGAAUUUAUGUUUUGGAAAACCAUGUUUCCUGUUUAAAUUCUACUAGUCAUUGCUCUAUGCUUUAAUAUUGGGUAUUAGGACAUGAUCAUGCUCCUAUGGUUGUUCUAUUUGAUAAGACUUGAACAUGCUUAUUUUAGUUUAGAUAUCCAUCUAUGCUACCGUUCUGUCCAUUUGGAUGUUAUGCACUUACAAUUAUACAUUAUGUAAAUCCAUAUUCCAGUUGCAAUGUAUAGCUUGAUUCGCACUUGUAGCAGCCAUGCAAGAUAAAAGAAAAUAAAUCUAGAUUCUUACCCUUUCCCUUGAUAUAUUCUCCUUGUUGAACAAACAAACAGUUUUUGAUGAACUGACAUUUCACCAUUCUGCUGGUUGGAUGCUUGUUGCAUAUAUUUAGAAUAAGCGUAAGUGCUUGUAUCUUGCUACUAUGAAAGUGGUGAUGUUUUUAACGAAGUGAUGCAGGCUACAGUGGCGUGCAACAUGUAUUCAUUGCAAUAUUUUCAUAUUUGUGGAGAUUGGUUAGUAUUUUGUGGUUGAUGGCUGUAGCUGGCUUUUCCUCCUAAAAUUUACAUGUGGUGGGAACAGAGUACAUGUGCCAUAAAAUUCACUUUUUCUCCUAACAACUUAUACUUAGCACUUUGAUCUUUGUAGAAAAAACCUUGCUGGGUCCAAAGUUGUCCAGAUGCAUGGUGAAUGAUGGCUGAGAUAUGGUGCGAAAUGGAAUAGAAAGAAAAUUCUUGUGCCUGCAGGGAGCGGAACUGAAUGUGAUCGGGGGGUCACAGUCAAGAGAGUGCUUCCUUGGCAUGCUACCAAAGGGAAAUGGUGAGUUGUCACUUGAAACUAUCAUCUUCGUUCUCAAUUUAUUUAUUUUAGCAAAGGCAAAAUAUUCUAGGUUCUGCUCUUCAUUUAGAAUAUUCACAAGUAAAUGAUUUCCUUUCUUGUAUAUCUGACAUUUCAGCCACUAUCAUGGAAGUAAAAGAGAUGGCCAUUUAAUUAGGCUAGGCUCACAAGUAGCUGGAUUUUUUGUGUGUGAAGAUGCAUCAGUGAUUUUUUUAGCAGUUUAUAAUGGUACUAGCCCCCUGUGCUUGUGGGUGCAGUGCCCUAAUUGCAGAAAAAUACCAGGUGCAUGUGUGGUGCUGGUUCUCUCCUUUGGCUCUUUGGUAUUGGUUCUCUCCUUUGGCUCCUUGUAAUAUGUGUUGGAUAUGUGUUCAUGGAUAUGUGUUGGAUAUAUAUGUGUUCAUGACUAUUGGUAACAUGUGUUGGAUUUGUGUUCAUGGCUAACAUGUGUUGGAUAUGUGUUCAUGGAUAUAUAUAUAUAUAUAUCUGUGUUUGAUUUUCUG